rnacentral:rRNA from 1 species
AACAAACGCUGGCGGCGUGCCUAACACAUGCAAGUCGUACGAGAAAGUCGGCUUCGGCCGAUGAGUACAGUGGCGCACGGGUGAGUAGCGCGUGGGUAAUCUGCCCCCCGGUCAGGAAUAACCCGCCGAAAGGCGGGCUAAUACCCGAUAACACUGACGCUCCGCGGAGCGUCUUUCAAAGAAGGCCUCUGUUUACAAGCUUUCGCCGGAGGAUGAGCCCGCGUACCAUUAGCUAGUUGGCAGGGUAAUGGCCUACCAAGGCUACGAUGGUUAGCUGGUCUGAGAGGAUGGCCAGCCACACUGGAACUGAGACACGGUCCAGACUCCUACGGGAGGCAGCAGUGAGGAAUCUUGCGCAAUGGGGGAAACCCUGACGCAGCAACGCCGCGUGAGUGAGGAAGGCCUUCGGGUCGUAAAGCUCUGUCCUCAAGGAAGAUAAUGACGGUACUUGAGGAGGAAGCCCCGGCUAACUACGUG